UUCUUCUCCUUUCUCCUUCUUUCUCAUUCCUUUCCUUCUCUCUGUAUUCUGAGAGUUACAGGAGACUGAGUGAGGAAGUAUGAGACAGUGAGAUAGAAGAAUUGAAGAGAAAUUUUGAGGUCAGUGAAGGAACAGAGAACCGGUUCCCUUCUUCCUUAAAUUUCUUCUUUCUUCUUCUUUUCUAUUCGGCUUCUUUAUGUUCUUCAUUCUUCUAUUCAAAAACUGAGAGACCCGAGAGAAGGAUUUUAGAGUCAGAGGGAAGAAGAGAGAGUGAGAGAUGAGAAAGGAGAGAACAAUUCUGCCAAACCCAGCUCGGAUCCACUGUGACCAAACCCAGUGAACCAGAACCAGCCGUGCAACCCAGAAUCCGUGGAUUCCAGCAACCCAGCAACAUAACCCACCGAACCAGAAGAAACCCAGACCCAGCAAUCCGGCAUGAACCCAGAACCCAGUUGACCCGUGCAACCAUGAACGAGCCAGUGAACCCAGAACCUGUAGCAGUGACUGAACCCAGUGAACCAGGGCCUUGAACCCGCAACCCCGCCUGGCCGAACCCAUCUUCGGUGACCGGUCCUCCAUAAACCGAGACUCAACGAACCUCGACUGAUCUACCGUGACUCUCGGCAAACCUAUACCCGUAGCAGACUAGCAGGCCUGAAGCAAACCCAACGAACCCGGACGAUCCACUGUGAUCCCAUCAAACCGUGACCCAGCCAAUCCGUGAAGCAGAAACCUCUUUCGGCAGACCAAACCCCGUGAACCCGAAGGGCGUGAAACCAGUAAACCUAGAACUACCCGAACUAUCCACGCCGAGUCUCCAUCUAUUAACACCAUGAGCCAUUCAACCCAAAAACCCGUAGCCCAGAACCAUAAAGCCCGUGACCCACGGCACAGCCCAAACCGCAGUUCAGCCCAAUCCAGCAACCCGGACCUGACUCUAACCCAGAUCCGAAACCCAUUAAAUCCAGCAGAUUUGGUUUUGCUCGGACAGCCUUGAUUUCUGGCCCAACCCAAUCUGAAUUUUAACCCAGAACCGGUCAGACCCAUAACCAUCAAACCCAGUUAUGACCCGGCCCAGUUGUGAUCCAUCACAGCAAGCCCAACCCGGACAGCCCAUAACCCGAGACCAACUGACCCGGACCCAUACCCGUGACCCGAACCAGAAACCCGACCCGCCGGUGACCCAUCUCCGGCGACUUUCCGGUGACUUUCCGGCGACUUUCCGGUGAAUUUUUCCGGCGAAUUUCCGUGACCGAACUUACUAUUUUCACUAGAUUUUCUAGUGAAAAUUCUUAAUAAGAUAUACUAAGAAAACAAUACAAAGAGGAGUAAAGCUCGAUCCCGAUAUUAAUGAGAAAUUCGGUUAUGAACAGAGAGACGUAGGUGGCCGGGAUGGGAUCUAGGAAUGCAUUAGGACAUUUCAUUUAUGUUACCCCAUAAUUUUCAGUUAUUGUAUUUUUACAAUUAAAUGACCGUUUCCGCAUUUAUUAAAAACUCUGAUAUUUUGAAACCAUUAUUAUUUUAUUUAUUUAAAUCAGCAUACUAGUUAAGAUA